rnacentral:misc_RNA from 1 species
CUGAGUUGUAAAACUCCAACCCUUUGUCAUUUAUUCCUGUCAAGUUGCUUCGGCGGGCGGCCCCAGGGCGGGCUCGCGCCCGCCUGCCGAAGACCACUUUUUAAACUCUUACUGUUUAAUGUCCUUCUGAAAACCUAAAAAAAUAAGUUA